GGAUUUCCAUUGUUGAAGGAUGCUCCAAAAGUUUUUGGCACGAUUGGUGAUCAUUUACUCUGGCACACCAAAAGCCAAUAGGGCAAAUUUUAUAAAAAGAAAAGCCUUUUAGGGUGGAGUGAUCAGAACCAAUUAAGCUGACAGUGGAAGAGCAAAACUCAGGCAACUGAUACAAGAAAGUGACUACAGUUUAUAGAUAUAUGUGGCCGUUUGUUUUAUGGUUUAUAAAGAGAAAAAUAUCGAACACAGAGCACAUGCUUAUUUACUCUCAUUUUUGCUGUGACUUGUAAAGUGGCCCAGGUUGAGCCACUUUACUUUUUUCUGUCCCAUCUGAAAAAAAAAAUAACAUUUUCUGUAUCCUUAUAAGACAAUCAAGUUGAUGUGAAUAUAACAGCUGCUUCUAGCAGUUUUCGAGCCCAAAGUAAAUGGUUGUGGGCUUUUUUUGGUUGUAACUGAUGCCCUGUCUUGUUUUGCUUCGUUUUUCUUCGCAUUGCUCUCGGAUCUCUGUUUUAUGAUCAAAGGAAAACAUGAUGGCUUGCUUCACUGACAGUCAUUUCCAGCUCAUCAGCAUUAUUGAUUUCAGAUUCACCGUGAAAAGAAAACUGUAAAACUGACACUGGGAAAGUGAUUCUCUGAACUUAGAGGUCAACUUGAACCAGGAAAGAUGGAACCCGUGGAAAGAUUUGGCUCACCGCGCUGAACAGGUGUGAGUCGUGAUUAAUUCUGAAGCGAUGCCUCUGCGUCAGUCCCCCGGGCUGCCCUCUCGCACAUCCCUGCUCUUGCUGCCACCCCGCCUUCUAUCUUCCAAAGCCGGGUGGGCACAGAGCUAGAGUCAGGUGCGGCCAUCAAAGUGAGUGGGUGACGCUUGUCCGAGUCCUGCGGAGUGAGCCAGUGCUGUGUGACUCACCUUCGUGAUAUCAGUAAAGCUCCAAGCCUCUUGCCUGGGAAUUGACAAAGGAAACUCUAUUCUGAAUAUGUCACUAUUUGAAUCUUUAAAUGUAAUCCACUUACCAGUCAACUGACAAACGUUCUCCAUAUUCUUCAGGUUGUUUCUAAUCUUUCUCCUAAUCACUUUUGCAGCCUGGCUGGAUUUUAUUGGGUUUAUGUGUGUUAGCUUUGAGAAGGAAUGGAAACACCUGCUUCUCUGAGAUGAUCAUUAUGUACCACCCCCUGCCUCGUCCCCCACCACAGCUCGGGUAGAGCAGAAAGGUGAUCUCAUAGGGUUUUUCCACACAAUUAUUCUGAUUUUUAAAACACAAGUAUGUGAAAGCCCCAAUCAUUGCCUCUUAAAAUCCCCUUUGUGUUCAAAGAGGAAGCUUGGGGAAUAGUUUCAGCAAAGUAUCGGGAGUAUCAGAUAGCACUGAUUCACCCAGUUCUGGAAACAAACCUCAGUUUCUUCAAUCAUUGGUUCAAGAUGAGAAAACUCCAAAAAUGUGAAAACUUCCCUUUGUCGUGUACUAAUUUGGCCACAAACUAGAGAUCAGCCUGUCCUCUGACAAAUGUGACACGUGAAUUUGACAAGUGUUCCGUCUUCUUCCACCCCAGUUCAUGCUGCGCCCUUCUGGCUACAUUGCUCCCUGGGUUCUCUAUUCAAGUCUUCCUCAUCUUUGGAGGUCCCACUGUCUCCUGGUAACCUUCUCCAACUUACUGGCUUAGAGGGAGCUUUUCCUCCCCUGAACUCUGGCACAUAUAUCAGAAUCUCUCAAUUGACAUUUAGUCAAUUUCCAGGGUAGAGAUUUUGCUGAAUUCUUACUCCCACACCUGUAGGGGUGCUGGUGCUUUGCCUACAGUGCUGAUGUGUAGUGUUGGCUGGGCAUCAGGAUUACCUGUGCAGCUUUUAGGGAUUACACAUGUCCCAGUCUCACACCACACCUUCUGAAUCAGGCUCACUGCUUGGGUGAUUCUGAUUUACCCCUGGAGUGAGAGCUACCACUUUGCCAUUAUUGUAGGAAUUACAUGAGCUAAUAUGUUGAAGUGAAGUGAAGUGUUAGUCACUCAAAGGUGUCCAGCUCUUUUCAACCCCAUGGACUAGGGCUCUCCAGGCUCCUCUGUCCAUGGGAUUCUCCAGAGAAGGAUACUGAAGUGGGUUGCCCUUUCCUUCUCUAGGAGAUCUUCCCAACCCAGGGGUUGAACCCAGGUCUCCUGCAUUGCAGGCAGACUCUUUACUGUGUGAGCCACCAGCGAAGCUCUCAGUAGAGGUAUAUUGACAGGCACUUUUUUUUUUUUUUUAAUUAAGCUCUAGACUUUCAUUAUCGGAGAAGGCAAUGGCACCCCACUCCAGUACUCUUGCCUGGAAAAUCCCAUGGACGGAGGAGCCUGGUGGGCUGCAGUCCAUGGGGUCGCUAAGAGUCGGACACGACUGAGUGACUUCACUUUCACUUUUCACUUUCCUGCAUUGGAGAAGGCAGUGGCAACCCACUCCAGUGUUCUUGCCUGGAGGAUCCCAGGGACGGGGGAGCCUGGUGGGCUGCUGUCUCUGGGGUCGCACAGAGUUGGACACAACUGAAGCGACUUAGCAGCAGCAGCAGCAGACUUUCAUUAUAAAUUACAACUUGAAUGCUAUGGCUGCUUCCUAGCUCCUCCUUCAGCCGCUAGCUCCUAGUCCCUUCCUUUUCAGCAGAACCUCUAUAUGUUUCGAGGGCUUCCCCUCCUCAACACAGUCCGCUUGCUUCAGGGGAAGUCCUCCCCACCCUCAGUGUGAGGGGAGGGGCUGAACGUCUAUGAGGUUAAGUCCAUGGCUCAGGAACAGGUGUGUGACCCAGUUACGGCCACUGAGAAGCAAGAAGAGUGCUAAAGGCUCUGGGAAGGGUCUUCCUCUUUACUCUUUCUCCUGCUAUUAUCUUUGUUACUGGCAGCCACCUGUGGUCUUUCUCUCUCUCCCUCCUCUUUCCCCCUUUUCCAGAAGGGGGAAAGAAGGUUUAGGAUGAAUCUGAAAAAUCAUGCAUCGUUAAUGUUGAGCAAAACAAACCUGAGUUGAUCUCAAUUUGGACUUCCAUGUAUGUGCACCAAUAAAUGCCUAAUUGUUUAAAACAGUUCUGUUAUUGUGGCUGAAUUAUCCUUCUAGACAUACUUGUGUUUAUUCCUUUGAUCCCAAGUAUCACCUGGCAUAAUGCCCUGUUUAGGAAAUUGUCAAUAAGCAUUUGUUGAAUGAAUGAAUGAAUGCAUAAAAGUGCCUAUAUAUACAAGUACUGGAGACAUAGUAGCCUAACAAAAUCCCAGUCUUCAUGG
ensembl:lncRNA